AAUAUUGAACGUGAACUUCAGAUAUGGAGUAUUGGUUCUCCUGAUCCUAACUUCACAUUAGAUGGCCACUCAAAAGGCGUGAACUGUGUUGAUUAAUUCACCGGUGGUUAUCGACCAUUUUUAAUUACUGGAUCUGAUGAUCAAACUGCAAAGGUUUGGGAUUACCAAACCAAGAGCUGUGUUCAAACACUUGAAGGAUAUGCACACAAUGUGCCCAUUGUCUGUUUCCAUCCAGAACUACCUACUAUAAUUACUGGCUCAGAGGAUGGCACCAUUCGGUUGUGGCACUCUACAACCUACAGGCUUGAGAACACUCUUAAUUAUGGUCUUGAGCGAGUUUGGGCUUUAGGAUACAUGAAGGGGUCACGAAGGAUUGUGAUUGGAUACGAUGAAGGGACAAUUAUGAUAAAAGGCUGUGAAGUUCCGGUUGUUAGCAUGGAAAACAAUGGAAAAAUCAUAUGGGCAAAACAUAACGAAAUCCAAACUGUUAAUAUCAAGGAUGUUGGUGCAGGCAAUAAGGUUCUUCUUCUUUGCCAUGUUAAUGUGUUGAAGGCUUGUUAA
rnacentral:rRNA from 1 species